AAGGCCCUUUUCGACUGCUAUGU
rnacentral:miRNA from 1 species